GCUUCGGCCCUGAGUAAAGUGGCGCACGGGUGAGUAACACGUGGGUAACCUGCCUCUAAGAUUGGGAUAACCUGUCGAAAGACGAGCUAAUACCGAAUGAGACCACAGUUUCCUCGGAAGCAGAGGUCAAAGGUAGCCUCUAUUUAUCAGCCUAAUAGAGAUCGGCCCGCGUACCUAUUAGCUAGUUGGUAGGGGUAACUGGCCCUACCAAGGCGAACGAUCGAGUAGCUGGUCUGAGAGGAUGAUCAGCCGCACUGGGAACUGAGACACGGCCCAGACUCCUACGGGAGGCAGCAGUGGGGAAUAUUGGACAAUGGCGCAAGCCUGAUCGCAGCCAUACGCCGCGUGAGUGAUGAAGGCCCUAGGGUUGUAAAGCCUCUGUCGGCGGGAACGAAGCUGAGGUAAAAGUGACGGUACCCUCAAAGAAGCCCCGGCUAACUUCUGUGCCAGCAGCCGCGGUAAUACAGAGGGUGCUAGCGUUGCUCGGAAUCACUGGGCGUAAAGCGCACGUAGGCGGAUUGCUAGUCAGGGGUGAAAUCCCUGGAGCUCAACUCCAGGGAACUGCCGCAUUGAUAACUGGCAAGUCUAGAGUACCGGAAGAGGGGAGUGGAACUGCGAGUGUAGAGGUGAAAUGCGUAGAUAUUCGGCAGAACACCAUGUGGCGAAGGCGGCUCACUGGCCCAGGUACUGACGCUGAGGUGCACGAAAGCGUAGGGGAGCAAACAGGAUUAGAUACCCUGGUAGUCCUAGCCUGUAAACUAUGGAUGCUAGCCGUUGGUGGGUUUACCAAUCAUGCAGUGGCGCGAGCUAACGCGUUAAGCGAUCCCGCCUGGGGAGUACGGUCGCAAGGAUGAAACUCAAAGGAAUUGACGGGGGCCCGCACAAGCGGUGGAGCAUGUGGUUCAAUUCGAAGCAACGCGCAGAACCUUACCUGAGCCUUGACAGCCCGGUCGCUGGCACCAGAGAUGGAGAAUCCUCUUCAGUUCAAGGGCUGUACCGUACAGGUGCUGCAUGGCUGUCGUCAGCUCGUGUCGUGAGAUGUUGGGUUAAGUCCCGCAACGAGCGCAACCCUCUGCCCUUAGUUGCCAUCAUUUAGUUGGGCACUCUAGGGGAAACUGCCCGGUGACAAACCGGGAGGAAGGUGGGGGAUGACGUCAAGUCCUCAUGGCCUUAUGUCAGGGCUUACACACGUGCAUACAAUGGCCUGGUACAAGACGGUUCGCCAAACCGCGAGGCGGAGCUAAUCCGAAAAGCCAAUCCGUAGUCCGGAUUGCAGUCUGCAACUCGACUGCAUGAAGUCGGAAUCGCUAGUAAUCGCAGGAUCAGCACGUCUGCGGUGAAUACGUUCCCGGGCUUGUACACACCGCCCGUCACAUCCAUGGAAGUGGGGUGCACCUAGAAGUAGGUAGGCUGAACCGCAAGGGAGGCCGCCGUACCACGGUAACGCUUCAUGACUGGGGUG
rnacentral:rRNA from 1 species